GGGAUUGUGGCUCAGCAGUAGAGUGCUCAUCUCACACAUGGGAGACCCUAGGUUCAAUCCUCAGCACCA
rnacentral:tRNA from 1 species